rnacentral:rRNA from 1 species
AGCGAACGCUGGCGGCAGGCCUAACACAUGCAAGUCGAACGAACCCUUCGGGGUUAGUGGCGGACGGGUGAGUAACACGUGGGAACGUGCCGUUAGGUUCGGAAUAGCUCAGGGAAACUUGUGCUAAUACCGAAUGUGCCCUUCGGGGGAAAGAUUUAUCGCCUUUAGAGCGGCCCGCGUCUGAUUAGCUAGUUGGUGAGGUAAUGGCUCACCAAGGCUACGAUCAGUAGCUGGUCUGAGAGGAUGACCAGCCACAUUGGGACUGCAGACACGGCCCAAACUCCUACGGGAGGCAGCAGUGGGGAAUCUUGCGCAAUGGGCGAAAGCCUGACGCAGCCAUGCCGCGUGGAUGAUGAAGGUCUUAGGAUUGUAAAAUCCUUUCACCGGUGAAGAUAAUGACUGUAGCCGGAGAAGAAGCCCCGGCUAACUUCGUGCCAGCCGCCGCAGUAACAC